GGACCCGCACAAGUAGCGGAGCAUGUGGUUUAAUUCGAAGCAACGCGAAGAACCUUACCUACACUUGACAUCCCUUGCAUUACUCUUAAUCGAGGAAAUCCCUUCGGGGACAAGGUGACAGGUGGUGCAUGGUUGUCGUCAGCUCGUGUCGUGAGAUGUUGGGUUAAGUCCCGCAACGAGCGCAACCCUUGUCGUUAGUUACUACCAUUAAGUUGAGGACUCUAGCGAGACUGCCUGGGUUAACCAGGAGGAAGGUGGGG
rnacentral:rRNA from 1 species